rnacentral:rRNA from 1 species
AUGCUCUGUUUUCUUGUGCCAAGGAAAAAGAGAAAAAACAUCUCCGUGCUAGAACUGACUGAGCCACACCGCCGGGCCGAUCGAGGCGCUCCACGACGGCGACGGCGCCGCCGCAUUUGGCCCCACCCCCUCCAAUCCGGCUGGGUCCCCCCACCUCCUCCCGCCACCGCCUCUUCAACCACGGGAUCGAUCUCCUCCCGCCGGGGGAUCGACCCUCCUCCGCUGCCCGCCGGUCUACGACGCAGAUGCGUCUCUCCGCGGCUCGCGUGGAUGGGCGCGCGGGCCGGCGGGCGUGGAGGCGUUUCGGUCAGUACCCGCCUCCUGUUCAACCGGAGCAGACCCAUCCAGGGCCGACGCACGGCCUCUCUGCUCCGCGCCGCGGUCAGCAACCCCCAACAACUAAUGGUUCACUGGCUGGCUUCUUCCUGCAGAUUGGGUGGUUCACAGACGAAAACGGAGGACUGGGCGAAAGGCCAGUGGUAUGUGAGAUUGCAGUCCCACGUCCGCAGUGGACAGACCAACUAUCAUGAUCUAAUUACAUCUCCUAGCUACCACUUUUGUACGGAUUCCAUUUUCUUGGAAGCAUGCUUCCUCAGAUCUAGGUUGCUCACAUCGAUUAUCAUAGGAUAUUACCUGAAUUCAGAUAAAAUUGGUGGAAAACCCAGACAGCUUGCCCGGCUCAAGAAGUUCAUGAACUUUCAUAAUUCAGUUGUAUUGGACCAGAUCCUGUUGUAUAAUGAGCAGUUGAUAAUGAGCAUUCCAAUGGCAGGGCUGGUGGCCACCAUGGUGGUCAGACCACUGAUGUCCAUUGUGAAGGAGAAGGUAUCCAGGUACCUCCGUGCCAAGUACAAGGUGAUGGAGGAGCAGCACAGGAUCCUCAACCCCUAG